AGGCUCUAUUCAGCCUGGGCAUCUUUGCUGAGGGAUAAAAAUCUGUGCAGUUUGGCUCUGUUCAGCCUGUGCAUCUUUGCUGAGAGAUAAAAAUCUGUGCAGUUUGGUGACAGGAUUGAACUCCCCUCACUGGAUGCUGGAACCCCAGGGCUCCUUUUGAUCUCCAAUUUAUCACUUGGGCAUCCAAUUCUGGCUGGAAAGAGACACCUUUAUUAAUUAGAAUGGACUCAAAAUGAAGAUUUCUCUUAUUUUCUUUAGCUAACUGGAGAAUUCCACAGUAACAUUGCUUUGUUUGCUUUUUCCUCUAAGUGGAAUUCUUGACAUCAUCACUGUGGGUCUGUUCUCCCACAAAAAUCAAACCUCAGGACCUUUGUUGAUUGUGCCUUAAUCUCUAUUUUUGUUCUUUCACCCCUCCCACCCAAGCAAGCAAAACUAAAAAUCACAGUGAAUGUCAAA